rnacentral:rRNA from 1 species
CCUACGGGAGGCAGCAGUGGGGAAUAUUGCACAAUGGGGGAAACCCUGAUGCAGCGACGCCGCGUGGGCGAUGAAGUUUUUCGGAAUGUAAAGCUCUAUCAGCAGAGAAGAUAAUGACGGUAUCUAACUAAGAAGCACCGGCUAACUACGUGCCAGCAGCCGCGGUAAUACGUAGGGGGCAAGCGUUACCCGGAAUUACUGGGCGGAAAGGGAGCGUAGGCGGGGGUGCAAGUCAGAUGUGAAAUCCCAUGGCUCAACCCCGGGACUGCAUUUGAAACUGUGCUGCUAGAGUAUAGGAGAGGCAGGUGGAAUUCAUGGUGUAGCGGUGAAAUACGUAGAGAUUAGGAGGAACACCAGUGGCGAAGGCGACCUGCUGGAAGAUGACUGACGUUGAGGCGCGAAAGCGUGGGGAGCAAACAGGAUUAGAUACCCCUGUAGUC